rnacentral:tRNA from 2 species
GCGGGCGUGGUGGAAUGGUAGACACACCAGACUUAAAAUCUGUUGGGCGAAAGCCCGUGGGGGUUCGAGUCCCCCCGCCCGCACCA